GAUGAACGCUGGCGGCGUGCCUAAUACAUGCAAGUCGAGCGAACGGACGAGAAGCUUGCUUCUCUGAUGUUAGCGGCGGACGGGUGAGUAACACGUGGAUAACCUACCUAUAAGACUGGGAUAACUUCGGGAAACCGUAGCUAAUACCGGAUAAUAUUUUGAACCGCAUGGUUCAAAAGUGAAAGACGGUCUUGCUGUCACUUAUAGAUGGAUCCGCGCUGCAUUAGCUAGUUGGUAAGGUAACGGCUUACCAAGGCAACGAUGCAUAGCCGACCUGAGAGGGUGAUCGGCCACACUGGAACUGAGACACGGUCCAGACUCCUACGGGAGGCAGCAGUAGGGAAUCUUCCGCAGUGGGCGAAAGCCUGACGGAGCAACGCCGCGUGAGUGAUGAAGGUCUUCGGAUCGUAAAACUCUGUUAUUAGGGAAGAACAUAUGUGUAAGUAACUGUGCACAUCUUGACGGUACCUAAGCAGAAAGCCACGGCUAACUACGU
rnacentral:rRNA from 1 species